rnacentral:snRNA from 1 species
GGAUGUGAGGGCAACCUGGCUGUGACAUCUGUCAUCACAUUGAUCACCAGGAUUGAUUCGGGAAUCUGGCUGGCUAGGCGGUGUCCCCUUCCUCCCUCACCUCUCCCUGUGGGUCCCUCCUGAAACUGUGUGCUCGAUGGAACUUGCACAAAACAGGAAGACCCGUCUUCAGUCAAGGUUACAGGAGUAGCUGCAUUCUGAACCUCUCAACAAGCUCUCAAGGUCCAUUUGUAGGAGAAUGCAGGCUCGUUAAACUUCCAAGAUUCCAGACACAUCCAAAUGAGACACUGCAUGUGGCAGUCUGCCCUUU